GAGAAUGAACGUGUCCGAAAGACAGACAGAAGCCCGGGGACUGACGUCCGUGGGAGCUCCUCCCGCACUGCAGAAGAUGAACAUCUAAGACUCGUUUAGACAAACUGAUGUAGAGAAAAAUAAGAAACAUCAAAACAUACCGUGCCCUGACCUGGGCUUUAAUCCUCAUGAGGCCACACUGUUCAGAAUCGGCUGAGGGACUCUGUGGCAUUUCGGGGUGUCCUUGCUGACAGGGUAUUUGGUGGCCCCCAAGUUCCCUCCUCAGAGGUGGCAGCCGUGGGGGACCCUGCAGCAGCUGUAGUGGUGUGGGACUUGGUAGCGGGGUCCUGACGGCGGAGGACCCAGCACGUCUGUUCUCAGCGG
rnacentral:lncRNA from 1 species